UACAGGCUUAACACAUGCAAGUCGAGGGGAAACGAUAUUGGAAGCUUGCUUCCGAUAGGCGUCGACCGGCGCACGGGUGAGUAACGCGUAUCCAACCUGCCCAUCACUUGGGGAUAACCUUGCGAAAGUAAGACUAAUACCCAAUGACGUCUCUAGAAGACAUCUGAAAGAGAUUAAAGAUUCAUCGGUGAUGGAUGGGGAUGCGUCUGAUUAGCUUGUUGGCGGGGUAACGGCCCACCAAGGCAACGAUCAGUAGGGGUUCUGAGAGGAAGGUCCCCCACAUUGGAACUGAGACACGGUCCAAACUCCUACGGGAGGCAGCAGUGAGGAAUAUUGGUCAAUGGACGAGAGUCUGAACCAGCCAAGUAGCGUGCAGGAAGACGGCCCUAUGGGUUGUAAACUGCUUUUAUAAGGGAAUAAAGUUAGUCUCGUGAGACUUUUUGCAUGUACCUUAUGAAUAAGGACCGGCUAAUUCCGUGCCAGCAGCCGCGGUAAUACGGAAGGUCCGGGCGUUAUCCGGAUUUAUUGGGUUUAAAGGGAGCGUAGGCCGGAGAUUAAGCGUGUUGUGAAAUGUAGACGCUCAACGUCUGCACUGCAGCGCGAACUGGUUUCCUUGAGUACGCACAAAGUGGGCGGAAUUCGUGGUGUAGCGGUGAAAUGCUUAGAUAUCACGAAGAACUCCGAUUGCGAAGGCAGCUCACUGGAGCGCAACUGACGCUGAAGCUCGAAAGUGCGGGUAUCGAACAGGAUUAGAUACCCUGGUAGUCCGCACGGUAAACGAUGGAUGCCCGCUGUUGGUCUGAAUAGGUCAGCGGCCAAGCGAAAGCAUUAAGCAUCCCACCUGGGGAGUACGCCGGCAACGGUGAAACUCAAAGGAAUUGACGGGGGCCCGCACAAGCGGAGGAACAUGUGGUUUAAUUCGAUGAUACGCGAGGAACCUUACCCGGGCUUGAAUUGCAGAGGAAGGAUUUGGAGACAAUGACGCCCUUCGGGGCCUCUGUGAAGGUGCUGCAUGGUUGUCGUCAGCUCGUGCCGUGAGGUGUCGGCUUAAGUGCCAUAACGAGCGCAACCCCUCUCCUUAGUUGCCAUCAGGUCAAGCUGGGCACUCUGGGGACACUGCCACCGUAAGGUGUGAGGAGAGGUGGGGAUGAC
rnacentral:rRNA from 1 species